rnacentral:rRNA from 1 species
GAUGAACGCUAGCGGCAGGCUUAAUACAUGCAAGUCGAGGGGCAGCAGGACUGUAGCAAUACAGUUGCUGGCGACCGGCAAACGGGUGCGGAACACGUACGCAACCUUCCUUUAAGUGAGGGAUAGCCCAGGGAAACUUGGAUUAAUACCUGGUAAUCUUUGAGAGUGGCAUCACUUUCUAAUUAUAUCUCCGGCGCUUAAAGAUGGGCGUGCGACUGAUUAGGUAGUUGGCGGGGUAACGGCCCACCAAGCCUGCGAUCAGUAACUGGUGUGAGAGCACGACCAGUCACACAGGCACUGAGACACGGGCCCGACUCCUACGGGAGGCAGCAGUAAGGAAUAUUGGUCAAUGGACGCAAGUCUGAACCAGCCAUGCCGCGUGGAGGAUGAAGGUCCUCUGGAUUGUAAACUUCUUUUAUCUGGGAAGAAGCCCAUAUUUUCUAGUGUGGUUGACGGUACCAGAUGAAUAAGCACCGGCUAACUCCGUGCCAGCCGCCGCAGUAAUAC